rnacentral:misc_RNA from 1 species
GUGUUUUUAUUACAAACAAGCACAUUCAAAUACAUCAAGGUUUUUAAAUGUAAAAAACGUAGGCCUUUACGGCCUACAAAGGGUGCACAGGUGUGGUAAAAGGUCAGAAUGAUUCAAGGAGUGCACAUGCCCCUGAGGGCCAGCAAGUCAUCCUCGAGCAUUUCGUUAAUGAUCCUUCCGCAGGUUCACCUACGGAAA